AUAUAGAAAAUAGAAGUA
rnacentral:sRNA from 1 species